UAUGGAAUCUUAGGCAAUGGACGAAAGUCUGACCGAGCAACGCCGCGUGAGUGAAGAAGGUUUUCGGAUCGUAAAACUCUGUUGGUAGAGAAGAACGUUGGUGAGAGUGGAAAGCUCAUCAAGUGACGGUAACUACCCAGAAAGGGACGGCUAACUACGUGCCAG
rnacentral:rRNA from 1 species